UCGACGAUGAACCGGUUUCGGCCGGGGAUUAGUGGCGAACGGGUGAGUAACACGUGGGCAAUCUGCCCUGCACUCUGGGACAAGCCCUGGAAACGGGGUCUAAUACCGGAUAUGACACGCUCCCGCAUGGGAUGCGUGUGGAAAGCUCCGGCGGUGCAGGAUGAGCCCGCGGCCUAUCAGCUUGUUGGUGGGGUGAUGGCCUACCAAGGCGACGACGGGUAGCCGGCCUGAGAGGGCGACCGGCCACACUGGGACUGAGACACGGCCCAGACUCCUACGGGAGGCAGCAGUGGGGAAUAUUGCACAAUGGGCGAAAGCCUGAUGCAGCGACGCCGCGUGAGGGAUGACGGCCUUCGGGUUGUAAACCUCUUUCAGCAGGGAAGAAGCGAGAGUGACGGUACCUGCAGAAGAAGCGCCGGCUAACUACGUGCCAGCAGCCGCGGUAAUACGUAGGGCGCAAGCGUUGUCCGGAAUUAUUGGGCGUAAAGAGCUCGUAGGCGGCUUGUCGCGUCGGAUGUGAAAGCCCGGGGCUUAACCCCGGGUCUGCAUUCGAUACGGGCAGGCUAGAGUUCGGUAGGGGAGAUCGGAAUUCCUGGUGUAGCGGUGAAAUGCGCAGAUAUCAGGAGGAACACCGGUGGCGAAGGCGGAUCUCUGGGCCGAUACUGACGCUGAGGAG
rnacentral:rRNA from 1 species